rnacentral:rRNA from 1 species
UACAUGGGGUGCAAACGUUGCUCGGAAUUACUGGGCGUAAAGCGUGCGUAGGCGGUAGCGUAAGUCGGGUGUGAAAGCCCCGGGCUCAACCUGGGAAUUGCAUUCGAGACUGCUCUGCUAGGGUGCGGAAGAGGGGAGCGGAAUUUCCGGUGUAGCGGUGAAAUGCGCAGAUAUCAGGAGGAACACCGAUGGCGAAGGCAGUGUUCUGGGCCAGUACUGACGCUGAGGAGCGAAAGCGUGGGGAGCAAACAGG